rnacentral:misc_RNA from 1 species
GAUGAAGAACGCAGCGAAAUGCGAUAAGUAAUGUGAAUUGCAGAAUUCAGUGAAUCAUCGAAUCUUUGAACGCACAUUGCGCCCGCCGGCACUCCGGCGGGCAUGCCUGUCCGAGCGUCAUUUCAACCCUCAGGACCCCCUUUCGGGGGGGAUCUGGUGCUGGGGAUCAGCGGCCUCCGGGCCCCUGUCCCCCAAAUUGAGUGGCGGUCGCGCCGCAGCCUCCCCUGCGUAGUAGCACACCUCGCACCGGAGAGCGGCUCGGCCACGCCGUGAAACCCCCAAUUUUUUAAGGUUGACCUCGGAUCAGGUAGGAAUACUCGCUGAACUUAAGCAUAUCAAUAAGCGGAGGA